UACAGAGGUCUCAAGCGUUGUUCGGAAUCACUGGGCGUAAAGGGUGCGUAGGCGGGUCUUUAAGUCAGAGGUGAAAUCCUGGAGCUCAACUCCAGAACUGCCUUUGAUACUGAAGAUCUUGAGUUCGGGAGAGGUGAGUGGAACUGCGAGUGUAGAGGUGAAAUUCGUAGAUAUUCGCAAGAACACCAGUGGCGAAGGCGGCUCACUGGCCCGAUACUGACGCUGAGGCACGAAAGCGUGGGGAGCAAACAGG
rnacentral:rRNA from 1 species